UACGAAGGGGACUAGCGUUGUUCGGAAUUACUGGGCGUAAAGCGCACGUAGGCGGAUUUGUAAGUCAGGGGUGAAAUCCCGGGGCUCAACCUCGGAACUGCCUUUGAUACUGCAAGUCUCGAGUCCGAUAGAGGUGGGUGGAAUUCCUAGUGUAGAGGUGAAAUUCGUAGAUAUUAGGAAGAACACCGGUGGCGAAGGCGGCCCACUGGAUCGGUACUGACGCUGAGGUGCGAAGGCGUGGGGAGCGAACGGG
rnacentral:rRNA from 1 species